rnacentral:rRNA from 1 species
AGCGAACGCUGGCGGCAGGCCUAACACAUGCAAGUCGAACGAACCCUUCGGGGUUAGUGGCGGACGGGUGAGUAACACGUGGGAACGUACCUUUAGGUUCGGAACAACACAGGGGAAACUUGUGCUAAUGCCGAAUGUGCCCUUCGGGGGAAAGAUUUAUCGCCUUUAGAGCGGCCCGCGUCUGAUUAGCUUGUUGGUGAGGUAAAAGGCUCACCAAGGCUACGAUCAGUAGCUGGUCUGAGAGGAUGAUCAGCCACACUGGGACUGAGACACGGCCCAGACUCCUACGGGAGGCAGCAGUGGGGAAUCUUGCGCAAUGGGCGAAAGCCUGACGCAGCCAUGCCGCGUGAAUGAUGAAGGUCUUAGGAUUGUAAAAUUCUUUCACCGGGGAAGAUAAUGACGGUACCCGGAGAAGAAGCCCCGGCUAACUUCGUGCCAGCAGCCGCGGUAAU